rnacentral:lncRNA from 10 species
UGGGCUCUGUUGAGCACUAAAAGCCAAGGAGGGGCGCACACAUUACAAGUGUACAAGGUGCUUGUGAGGGCAAAAUUCACCUAACAACUAAAUGGCAGAGAUCAAGGAACAGUGAAGUAGUUGGGCUUUCCCUGAGAGUUAGGACUCCAGCAGGAUGAGGGGAGGCUUGAUUAUUUUGUUUGUAAGCACUGCUUGAACUUUUCUGAGGGCUGUGGGGGCACAUUUACCUGAGGACUUCCUGGGGACCUUCUGUGAGGAAAGCGAUUAAAAGGAUUAAAGCCCCAACACCUCUUCCCCGAGAUUCAAAGUUACUGAAAUUCACUGAGGUGAACUAAAGGUGAGUGGGUGACCACAGCCAUACCCAAGCACAAGAAAGGCAAGGAAGCCCCUGAAAAUCACCGUGAAGGAAGAAUGUGACAGGACUAAAAAGAGAACAGCAGAGGAGCCUGUCCCCUAAUGCAGGGGUCCCCAGCCCCAGCCCACGGACUGGUACCCGGUUCAUGGCCUGUUAGGAACCCAACCCCACAGCAGGGGGUAAGUGGCAGGUGGGAGGGCAUUACUGCCUGAGCUCCACCUCCUGUCAGAUCAGCGCCAGCACUGGAUUCUCAGAAAAGCAGGAACCCCAUUGUGAACUGCGCAUGCUAGAGGAAUCUAGGUUGCACAGUCCUUAUGAGAAUCUAACUAAUGCCUGAUGAUCUGAGGUGGAACAAUUUCAUGCCGAAACCACCCCUCCCACUCACACCCCACUCCCCCAUCCGGGCAGUGUGUCUUCAUGACUGUCAAUGACUCUACGAUGGUGUCACUGGGAGUCUGGCCCGUGUCUGUGGGAAGUCCUCCUGACUGCAAGUAGCACCUAAGUGGGUAGAGGGCCAGGCUGGGUGGGCAUCCUGCUUUCCUUCUGAAGAACUAUGAGCAUCACUGAGGACCAGAAGCAGAGCUUGAGCCACACCACCUCCAGGAAGCCCUCUUAGCUAUGCAAGGAGAGAAUCUCUCCAGACCCUUGGAUUUCAGCUGCUUCUGGCAUCCAUAGGAGCACCUGACAGCUGGUAAGAGUUAAAAAGUCCCUGCCUCAAGGGGCACCCCUAACAGAAGAGCUGGUUUUCCUGCUGGCUUGGAUGGGAGUGGGCUUGAGAGUUGUAUAUUUGGAGGCCAACUGAGUGGCAGGUAUUUCUAUUCCCAAACUGCAAAAUAGUUUAAACAUGAAAGUCAUUCACAGAGGAAGAGAGGGUGGCCAUGGAAUGGUUCGGAGCAUGGUCUUUGUGGCCAGACACGCCUGAGUUUGAAUUCCGUUUCUCCUACUUUCUAACAGCUGUGUGUCCUUGAGCAGAUGGCUUCUACCUUCUCAGCUCCAGUUUCCUCAUCUGUUAUCAUCCUCAAAUGGGGAUAAUAACAAUCCCUACAUCAUAGAGCUGUUAUGAGAAUUAAAUGAGAUAAUGCAUGUAAAGUAUUUGGCACCUAGUGGGCCUCAAUAGAUGUUAGAUUAAACAAACAAGCCAAAACCCAAAUAGGCACCAGGGCAAGUUGUGUGUAAGCGACGGGGCCCCCUACACUUAGCGAGCACUCAGAGAUCCUGCUGAGAAAUGAUGAGGAGUGAUUUCUCACCGUAAUGGAGAGAAAAAGGCAAGUAAGUUUGAGACAGGUCCAAAAUAAUCCCAAGAAGAAUUCGCAUGGUGCCUGAAUUCAGCCAGGCAUCCAGGAUUCCUGAUUCCAAAACAACUAUGCUGUUUUUGGUGUAAUUUUGGACCCUCCCUGGUGAUUUUCAGUUUUGUACAAGAACAGUUUCUAUUUUAGUUUAUCUCCACUUGGUUUUUCUCCCCCUCCAAUUCUCUCCUGAGGGUUCUAUUUCCAUUACUUCUUUACAUCUUUUGAUUUAAAUUCUCAUUUGAAAAUAAUUAUAUGUGCUAUUAUUCAUCGAGUGUUUCUGUUAAACGUGCUUGCCCUCUCUAAGACAUGGGAACGCGCUUCUCUGAAACAGCACAGAGGUGAAGCCCAGGCGAGGCCUCUAGGUUGGUGGUGGAAGGGACAUAAAACUUCGUGUGUCAGGGAUCUUCCUGACAGGCUUUACCAGGCCUGGGUCCAAGAUGAAGCUGAGAAAAAUGAAAAGGGAUUUGGCUGACAAAGCAGAUGACAGGCAGAGAGAGCCAGUAAAAGGGAAUUGGCCAAUGGCAAAAGGGGAAUUGGCAAGGCUUUGUGAAACCCCUUGGUGGAAAACCAUAAACCUCAGCUUGUCCGUCUGGCGCAUCAGUCUUCACAGGCAAAUCAUUUUUGCCUGUGGAAGGUGCCUGCCAGGAAGCUGCCCCUCAGGGGGCGCCUUUGGAAAAGUGGAUCGUGUCUGGCUGCGUGCCCAACCCUAAGUGCAUGGGGAUGAGAAGAAAAUGCUCACAAUGAGAUCUCUGAGGGCUGGGAGAUGGGGAGUGCUCCAGCGGCUGACACUCGUGAGUCACAGAACGAUGGGAAAAAAGAAGUUGAGAAACAGAGGAAGAGGACGCGGGACGGGAGGAGGUGGGAAGCCGCUUUGUUUCUGCAGUCCGGGACUGUCAGGGCCUGCCUGUCUCCCUCUUUGACGGGUCCCACUUGGAAUUACUCAUCGACGCUUUCGAAACUCAAGCCUGUCUUCUUCCAGAGGCCAUACAUCUGGGAAAUCAAAGCUGCUGAAAGAAAGCCUAGCAAAACUAAGUACUGAGAUAUUUCACAAGAUUGAGGCAUUGGUUUAUUUACUAUUAUUAUUAUGUUAUUGUGUUGCUAUUAUUACAUAUAUUUCUACACCACUUUGUUUCACAAAAGGCUUAUAAUGGGAAAGACUUAUUGAAUAGUGUUCCAUAGAAGAGGUUUAAUCUCAAAGUUCAGGUUAUUUGGUAUUUGCUGGGUGACACCAUUUCAAAACUAUCAAGGUUUAAUGUGAAAUUAAUUUAAGAUUUCAAUGAUCUGGUUUUCAUUUUAAACCUUGUAUUAAAAUAAAGUAUCAAUCAGAGUUACAGCUUUGCGUGUGCAUGUGUGUGCAUGUAUGCAUGUUUAAUUUCCAUUCCACAUUGUUCCAUAAAGGAUCUGAGGGCACAAGUACUAUAACUUUGCAAGUUAGUGAGAAUGCCUAAAAUACUAGUAAAGGCUUAUCUUUCAGCAGGGAUUCACCAGUUGUUGUCUGCCAUUUUUCCAUUGAUGAAUAGAAUUUUGAUAAUAUGCCUUUUUAAUAUAAUUUCAACUUUUAUUUUAGAUCCAAGGGGUACACGUGCAGGUUUGUUAGCUGGGUAUAUUGCAUGAUGCUGAAGUUUGGGGUAUGACUGAUCCCAUCACCCAGGUACUAAGCAUAAUGCCCAAUAGUUUUUCAACUCUUGCCCCCCUCCCUCCUCAUUCUAGUAGCCUCCAUUUUCUAUUGUUGCCAUCUUUAGUCUAUGAAUACCCAAUAUUUAGCUCCCACUUGUAAGUGAGAACAUGCAGUAUUUGGCUUUCUGCUCCUGCGUUGAUAACACAUUUGAAAUAUGCUUCUUCACCCUUAGAUGUUUCACUACUAGAGUUUUAUUACCUUUCAGCACAACAGAGGAGAGUGGAGAUACAGACUUAGAUAGAGGAGCAGACUCACUUCUGUGGCUCUUGCCACAAAUUUUCUUUUGAAGGUUCUGAAAGCUCCGAAUACAGUUAUCUGAUUUAUUCUAGGUACACUUGGGCCAGUGAAAUUCUAGGCUCUAAAAUAGAAAGUUUUAGAAAGAGCUCAAUGAAGCUUUAUUUCUUGUACAAUAAAUCCAUCUCAGCAAAGAGAGCCUGCCAUUACAUGGAACUCAGCAUCUACUGAGGCAAGUAAGAUUCACGCUCCUGAAGACAAAGCAGGAAGUCAGCUCAUUAAGGCUGUUAUCUUGCUUCUGACUCUAUCUUGCUUUGUGCAGUCUUCACUGUCUCAAGUGCUAUAUUGUCUGUGUGGUAUUUCAUUUUAAAAUUCUUCCGUUUGCUGCUGAUUGGUUGGUUUAAUAGAAAAAUAAAUAAAUAAAAUUUUUCAGUUGAGACAUUGUGAUGUAGUUGUAUAUACAAGUUAACUCUAAUCUAUCCUCCAAGAGGGGAGGCUAGAAUUUAAAAUACCCUGUUUGGGGGAUCCAGCAGUUAACUACUGCUGGAGUUGGUUAACUCAAAUGAAGCACCCUAGCCAGAGUCAACAUCUUCUAAGAUGGUCCACUUAGCAUUUAAAUAUAAUUAACUAAACCCAUGCCAGGAGGCUUACUAACAUAAUGGAUAUUUAAAAUAGUUUCUAAUUGGUGAGGUGAGUAGUAAUCAAACCAGAUGGUUGGUUAGGGGUGUUAUACCAGAAACUCUGCCCUUACCUGAAUGAAGCAUAAGCAUUGGCAAGCCCAGCUUUCUGAAUACAAAUGGUGCAAGCUUGCAGUCUAGACCCCCAAGUUGCUUCUACGUCCUCCACUUCACACAGCACCCUGUACCUGACCCUGUACAAAACUGGACACACCUGCCAUCAGAAUAUGCUUGUCCUAAAUUCAACUAAGCCUUUUAUGGGGAAUGCUGAACAGACGACUCAAAGGUAAAAGAGGGCCCAAGGAUAAAGACUGGGACUUUCCUAGCUACAUGCCAUGUUUAAGACUGUUUUUGAGACUUUUUGUGAAUAAAUGUCUAGGUAUUGUCAGAAUAUUUUCUAAAACCUCUUUUCAUUGUAAUAUGACUCCUGGUAGCCAGGUUGUGAAGGAAGGAAUAUACUGACUCCCCCAACACUUCCUCACUUCCGAUGGUUGGAGCCUAUUAAUAUUUACCAGGAAAUUUUUAUAUUUGCCAAAACGAUUGGCUUGGGUAGAAUGCCAUGCCAUGCAAAUUUCAAAUUCAUGUUUUCAUAUAGAGAAUUAAGCUAAAGAUGGUUAGCUUAAGGUUGUGGGGUUUUUCUUUGAAUUUUGGGACUCCGAUUGCAUUCUGUAAAUGUCCCUUAAUGAAGGAACUAUUUGGUGGGCCUUAUACUUGUCCCUGAACACCCUUUAACUGUGACUUGUAGGAUAAUUUCUGAACCCAUUUAAAUUCUGGAAACCUGAGAGUUGCCUGUCUAAGCAGUAGCUGUGCUCCUUCUGUGGCAUCUUCUUGUAAAAUAUUGGAUUCUAAACUGGUUGCAGUGGAAACCCAGGGCCACUGAGGGAAGAGUGGAAGCCAGAUAGAGUGUCCCCUCCUUCUGUGCUGGCUGGGACAGGCAAUCUCAGCCCAGGGGUCGGGGAGAGGAACCGGGAUUCAUACCCGCAGGAUUUUGUUUGAGAUUUCAUGCCUAUCAAGUUCAUCCUCAAAGAACCCAAUGUCAUUCUGAUUUAUUAUUAUUAUUUGAAUGAGAGUCAACCACCGACUAAUUGUGUCUGGGAUAUGUCAGCCCCAAGCCUGCCUUAGGGCAAAAGGUUGGACAAGAUAAUUAGGACUGUGAGGAGGAAUUGAGAGACUUCCUGUGGAAGUAUCAGAGUAGAAGAAGCCAACACAAAAAUCUGGCAUCAGUAAUGGUCUUUCUUUUAUUCUCCUCUCAGGACGGUUUGGAACUUUGGGAUCCUUGAAGGACCCCGUGGCCUAGCAGAUGAGCACCCUGCCUGCGGCUGCAGGGCAAUGUCACAGAGAACCCCUAGGGGGAAGCACUCAGGCACAAGUCUCAGUGAGAUUCUCAGCGGCAGGGCUGUGCAUGCAUCCGGGGACACCAUCUCCUGUUUCUCACAUAAAGAUUACGGCACAGGCAAAGAUAAGGAACAUUUUCCUAACAGUAAGAAGGCUUUGAAUCCAAGAAAGCAACAAACCAGAGCAGACUCAUUUGAAACAUGAACAGAGUGAUGUGGCCAAAGGAAUCCAAGCCAGGUUUCACCAGGUUCCUAUUGUGAACACACUGGAUGUUUAUAUGAGAAUCCCAGUGUAUAGCAAUCAUAACUAGAUAAUAAUUAUGCUUAAGAUUUGGUCCUCUUUCCAUAUAUGGAUUCAGUCCUUUUCUGUCAUUUUGUCAUUUUCAUGGAAUCUGGAGUUACGGAACCAUCCAAUGUUUAUUACAGAGAAUGACCACCCAUAAGCCUCUCCAUGCUUAUGGAAGCAACAGUUCUGGGGCCGCUGGCUGCAUAUUCCUUCCAGGUGUUUAUUUCUGGGUCUACAUCAUGUCCCUCACUCAUCAAUUUAACUCUAUCCAGAGAAUUCCUCUAUGGUCUUCAUCAGAUUAGGAAGUAAAUCAUCAGUCACUUCAAAUAUUUCAAGCUUGGUUUUCUUUGACAUAAAUCAGUUCUCCUGACUACAAUUCCUGGAAAAUAUUGUAGAGCCCAGCAGCAUUGCAGUAUUUCAACCUUCAUUUGAGUUGCCUGUGACCCAGAUGUGAGCUAGUGCUUCCACAGUCUCAGAUGUCUGGGUGAAUCCACCAAUUCUACACCUGUGAACAUCCCUGCCUUUGAUUCUUUCUAAUUGUCAGGAAACUUGCACUCAUAAUCCCUCCUGCCUCUGGCUCCUGGGUCCAUAUGUACUGGCUCUGUAUCAGCCUCUCUCAACCCAGGUGUAAUACUCAGCCCUUUGUCAUUUUAUACAAAACAAUUCACACUUUAAGCAUUUCUUGAGUAAUACUUUGUACAAGUAAUACCUUGGGAUGCAGAGUGAGAGUAUGUGGGUGGGUCAUGUUACAUAGUUCCAGGCUUCCCAAGGUCCUCUACCUCUAGGCUCUCUGUCCUGUCCUCUCUUCCUUCCUUAUUUUCCCUGGGAGCUCCAUGACCUUCUCCCUCUAUCAGACAAAUUAGCCCAGUUCCCCUUAGCUCCUACCGCUAAGUGUCCAUCAAGGCCCUCAGCGAAACAAAGUGUGUUCUGUUUAACAAAAUCUAUGUUCCUUAGAACAUAGCUAGAAUAUAAAUAACAACAAAAGUUCAGGUGCAUAUAUAUAUUAGUUGAUGAAAUCAAGUAUAAAUCUCUGCCUCCAUUGAAAGAUAGCACAAUGUUUUAGAGAAGGAACUGAAUUAGGAAUCAGUCUAUUCGAAUUUGAGGCCCAGCAGCACCCUUCACUAGACAGGUGAAAAAGCCAGCAAUUCAUUUUCGGUCUCAGUUCAUCAUCUGAAGAGUGAAAAUGUUACAAAUAUUUUGAAUCAUUAUGCUGAUUAAAGGAAAUAACUUAUUCACAUGCACUCUGAAACAUUAGAGCAGCGUUUCUCAGGACUUUUUUAGUUUUACCAUGACUGAGAGUGCUGCUGGCACUUUGGAGGAGGUGCUGGGGAUGCGAGGUGGCUGCCAAUGUGGAAAAAUUGUAUAUAACACAGUACUGCCUAAUUAUCAAUAACAUACCCAUUGAGAAAUGCUACAUCUGAACACAGUAUAAAUGAAAGGUACGUUACUUCUGACCUUCCAUCUUUUACACAAAAUGCUGAUGAAUUUCUUCAUGGUGUAGAUAAUUCUUUUAAACAAUUUUCCUCAUUCUGGAUUAUUUUAGCCCAAUCUUUGUUCCAAGGUGAUAGUUUCUCUGCCUUCCAAUGAUGCUGCCAACAUUUUAAUUGCAAUCUUGAGCUUCCUUCUAUACAGAGUGCUUCCAUUUAGGGUAUCUUUGUUUGAUCUCUCAGUUGAAACUACAUUUUACCCUCCAGAAAACAAAAAGAAGAAAGACAAAUUAUGGGUAAAGGCUGAGAGAAUUUUCCACGUGGUGAAGGCAAGCAGUAUGAGGAAGCAGGUGAGCUAAGUACCCACGGGGCAGCUAUUCGGGCCAGUAGUUGUUUUCCCAAGGCCAGCGUCACCUGGUGUAAACAGCUGGUGGGCUUUUAAUCAGGCUUCAAAUCUCUUUCCCACCUCUCCUCUUCUGAUUGCAAUAAGCAAUGUAGCCCUAACUAGGGCCCAGACUUCCAGACUGCAGACUUCCAGGAGCAACACAGUUCUAUCCCCAUUCUGUGACUUGCCAUCUGCCCAUGAAGCCUUGAGAGGGUCCAUCAUCUGCAGGCCUGACUCCUGAUUUGCUCUCUUGGCUGUGGUGAAGCACUGUGGUCACCCACAUACACUCUCCCUUUAUCCUCAGGCAAGGACUCAGGGCUGCUACUCCUACCACAGAGGUAGAUGGACCCCAUGAGGUGGGUUUGGGGGAGGAUUAGCAUGUACUUUCUUUGGGCCAAGAGCCAAAUGAGCAUUUACACUCAUCUUACCAACACUACAUCCUUAGGGUUUAGAGAGCUGUUUUGAAAUGCUUGAUACAGUGAGGGUGCUCAGAGAUAUUUCAUCACUUAUAUAAGAGGGGGGACCCCUGCCUCUAUAGGCUUAUGGAGGAAUGUGAUUCAGAUGAGAGUAGGAGGGCCUAACUGGCUGGGAAGGUAUGGAAUCUGUAAGCCAGUUAUACUCCUAUUUCCAGUCAACAGGCUGAACCCAUAAGUUUUUGUUUUUAGAUGAUAUCUCUGAUUAUUUUGACAAUGUCACUUCUCUGAAACUUUCAAUGACUCUCUCUGCUGAUAGAAAAAUUCCAAUUUCCUUAGCCUUUCAUUGAAUCUAUCCAUAAUUUGGGUCCAACCUACUUUUCUAGUCUUCUAUUUUGUAACUCCCCUCGCAAAUCUUACACCCCAGCAGUUUUGAAUUAAAACAAAACAAAACAAACUUUUUCUUCCCUGAAAACAGGUCCUCCAGCUGGUCCUACUAUUAGUUAAUGAGCAAAAUGACCCUGGCAAAUCAUUAACGUCUCAAAAUCCCAGCAGCCUAGCUUUUAAAAUCCAGUGGCAAGACCUUGGCUGAUGAAUUUUUCACAAGUUGCCCAGGUGAAUCUAACACAUCAAACAUCUGGACCUAAAGCCCUCUUCAACUAUGAUUUUCCCACACAUUCCCCAAGCACUGCAAUUCUCUGUCUCCACGUGCUUAUCAAAGUAUCUUUUCCUGGAAUGCUUCACUUUCUCUCUGCUUAACCCUGUAAACUCAGGUGCAUACACACAUGCACACCUGUGCACAUACACACACGCCAAGGCCCUUCAAGAUCAGCUCCAACACUGCCCUCUCCAGAAGGUCUUGCCUAAGGUUGGAGCUCACCUUUCAAUGCCCUCUUUCUUCAAACAGCUUUAAAUAGCAUUUAUCACGAUUAUUCCUUGGUGGGUCUUAGCUCACCACCGGUAGACUGAAACUUGUUGAGAGUAUUCCUUCUUGCUCACCUUUCAUUUUCCACAUUAAUCGUGAAAGUAGCUUGUGAGAGUUGGUUGAAUUGAGUUAAAUUAACCUGACAUGAAUUAAUUGAGAGACAUCUUGCUGAAGGUGACAAGUUGGAGGCUCUUGGGAGGAUUAUAGAUAAGGGUGGAGGGCUUGUGUCUCCUGACCUAUGUCUCUGCCUAUCGUGGAACUCUUACCAGGCACAUCCCCUAUCUGUCUCUAUCCACAUGUGAUUGUGGACUCAAAAUCAAAAGAAGGGCUGCAGCUGUUUUUUGUCAAAAUCGGACAAUUUUAUAUCUGUAAUCUUGCAGCCAGAGCGGUUGAGCUGAUAUAUUUCAUGACUCACUCUAGACAGAUUAAAGUCUGUCCCUGAGAAACGAGGAGGGGGAACCAUUAAUCUUUCCUAAAAUAAACAGAGAGUUAUAACAGCUCUUUAAUCUGAAAAGUGGAGAUCCUGAGCUGGAACACAGCACCCAAGGGCGCGCCAAAUUCCACGAUGAGUAAAGAGUGCCCAGAUAAUAAUUGAUUGUGGGAUCCUCUUCCCUGUGGUCCCUGAGGGGCGUUCACAGUGUCGCCAGCAUUUAAAGAGGCUUUGGCAAAGUAUCUGUCCCAGCUCCAUAUGAAAGAAAGACUUGUCAUCAUCUGAACCCUUUGGGACACUUGCUUUGCUAAGCUUGCAUGGAAGCUUUGGGGUGCCUAUGCAAUUAGCAUUUCACUCUUGGUGGCCUACCACUGUGUCCCAUCCAUGCGUCUCCCACCCAGCCACCCCCAUCCACAGGAGUUCUUGCUUCUCCCCAGGCAUGGCAGAGUUUCUCCUCUACUUUCCCAGUACUCCCUCACUAAACCCUGAAAUUUGGCCAAUUCCGCCUUCAGGGUCAUCAAGCAUCACCUUUCUUUAUGCCAGUGAGGCUCAACAGUCUCUCUCCACUGCAUCCUGCUCCACCUCCCAGGACACAGCAACCAGUGGAUUCCCUUUCCUUCCUUGGUUUCCAACCUGAUUCUCCUUUGCUUCUCCCUCUGACCUUCUCUGAUGCCUCUUCCUUGUCUGUCAUUUAAUUAUCAGUAUCCCCAAACUUCUUCCUCAAGUCAGCCUCUCUUCUCCCUCUACAUUCUCUUUCUUGACAAUGUCAUUUAUUCCCACAGAACCUCAAUGACAAAGACUCUCAAACAAAUUACCUGUUCCCAAGCUACAGACUCAUUCUUUGAAUGGCCUGAUAGACAUCAUUUGGACAUUUUACUGGUAUCUCACACUUACCAUUUCCAAAUCUAAUGGAUUAUCUGUGAUUCACCCCACCUCCAGCCCCUCUUCAAAUAAGCUCUAGUGCCUAUUUUCCUUAUUUCCUACAGUAGCACACAAUUACUCAGUCACUUUAUACUUUAACUCAUGGAGCAUGUACAGCUCUUAGGUUCUUCUCCAUUCCUCUCUCUGACAUGCCUCUGUUUACCAAAUUCUUAGAGUACAGUCCUAUAGAUUCUGUGUCUAAAUUGUUUCUGGUAAGUAUUUUCUCCUGUCCACAUUCAUGACCAUAACUCAGGCUCUUACUAUUUUUUGUCUCAUAAUAGCUUUGUUACUGGUUGUCCUGCUUCAAACAUUGUUCAGUUUAUCAUAUUCUUGCAGAAGAAUUUUUCUAAACCACAGACAGGAACAUAUUCCACUGCACAACUUUCAAAGACUGAGUACUCCCCAUUGCCUGCUGAUUGUAUCAGAAAAUCUUCAGCCCAGAAUCUAAUGCCCUCCAUAAUAUGACUCCCACCUACUUUUCCAAUCUCAUUUCCCACCAGAGUCAAGUGUGACUACUCACUGUCCCAUGUAAACACGCCAACUUGCAUGCCUUACUGCCUUUGCACCAUUCUCUCAUUCUGCACUGCCCCAAAUAUCCCUUUUCUGCCACCUAAGUCUUUCUGUGACGAUCUUACCAAGGAUCAAGGCCAUCUCCAAGCCACCUCUUUCCUGAAACCUUUCCUAAUCUCUCCAAUGUUGGAGAGCACUCUUCCUUUCAGCCCAUGCCGUACUUUUCUGUGAUUUCCUUCCUUCCUUCCUCCCUUCCUUCCCUCCUUUCUUUUUCUUUCUUUCUUUUUUUGACAGUCUUAGCCUGUCGCCCAAGCUGAAGUACAGUGGCGCAAUCUCAGCUUGCUGCAACCUCUGCCUCCCAGGUUCAAGCGAUUCUCAUGCCUCAGACUCCCAAACAGCUGGAAUUACAGGGGUAUGCCACCAUGCCCAGCUAAUUUUUGUAUUUUUAGUAGAGACAGGGUUUCACCAUGUUGGCCAGACUGGUCUCAAACUCCUGACCUCAAGUGAUCUUCCCACCUCGGCCUCUCUAAGUGCUGGGAUUAAAAGCGUGAGCCACUGUGCCUGGCCCCUUUCUGUGAUUUUUCAUUGUAAUUUAUGUGCUCUUAUUUUAUUCCCUUCAUUAAGUGGAUAGUUAUCAACCUUUUUCACCCUUAUGAAGGAUGACAAUCAUACUU